GGGAAGCCGGUGAGAUUCCGGCGCGGUCGCGCCACUGUAUCGGGGGAAGCCGAAUAUCAGUCAGUUUCCCGGAGCCAGACC
rnacentral:ncRNA from 2 species